rnacentral:lncRNA from 12 species
GCUAAAAUUGCCCACUUUAUGACCUCUUUGGUCCAUGUAGGCUAUAUUUAUGGUUGCUUUCAGUAGUUCUCUGAUUGAAAGCAAGGAUCGUUCAUGUUUAUAAUAUUUAUAUGAACAACAAAGCACACAGACACUCACAUGAUGUCCAUUUUAUUAUCAAUUUAAAUGACGCAUAAAAUUACAAUUUAAAAGAGUAACUAUGAGGAACGGCACAUACUGUAAUGCAGAUCUCUGCUUUAAAGGUUUGAGCUUUGAUAUAUUUCCAAUACAGAAUGAUAAAAGACCACAUGACGAGUUGUUUGGAUUAUUAUAAUGUUUAGUAUUUUGUUUACUUCAGAAGCGAUUAUCCUUAAAAGUUAGUCGAUAGUUGAGUUUUCUUUCAGGUGCAGGAUUCAUAUAAAAGCAGAGGUCUGUAGAAUGUCCUCGUUUAGGCAGCGAGGCGUGUGUGUGUGUGUGUGUGUGCGUGCGUGCGUGUGAUCGCUGGGUGGAGCAGCAGUGUAAGGCAGGUCUCGUCUCUCAUUGCGGCGGCUGGAGAUCCAUCGAGCGGCGGCGGAACGUCGCUCCGGCGUCCGUGUGCGUGAAGAGCAGGUGGAGGAGGAUGAUGAUGAUGAUGAUGGAGGAAUCCGACAGCAUCCCCUGCACCGCGGAGGACGGACUCCUGUCGAGCUGGAGAUGGAACAGAACCGCCAGGGAUCAGGUCCAGAUCAAGCAGAAGAUCCGAGAUCUGCCCGGAUUGUUAAAGCACGGACUCAACCUGCGCAAAAAGAGCAGUUCAGCUCCCAGAUCUCCAGCAGCAGCCCACAGCAAAUCAAUACAGUAAAUCUUACACACACGCCGUCUUCAGAGCCCAGUCAAAACAAAGCCAACAAGCGUACGCGUGGCCCCUGGAGAGGUUUGUCUACAGAGAGACAAGCAGUCGCUGAUACCUGCAGGUCACGCCGGCCCACAGAAAGCACAGAUACUAUCAUCACAGCAGUCACCUGA